rnacentral:rRNA from 1 species
CCUACGGGAGUCAGCAGUGAGGAAUAUUGGUCAACGGGCGUAAGCCUGAACCAGCCAAGUCGCGUGAGGGAUGAAGGUUCUAUGGAUCGUAAACCUCUUUUAUAAGGGAAUAAAGUGUGGGACGUGUCCUAUUUUGUAUGUACCUUAUGAAUAAGGAUCGGCUAACUCCGUGAUAGCAGCCGCGGUAAUACGGAGGAUCCGAGCGUUAUCCGGAUUUAUUGGGGUUAAAGGGGGCGUAGGCGGCCUUUUAAGUCAGCGGGGAAAGUCUGUGGCUCAACCAUAGAAUUGCCGUUGAAACAGGGGGGCUUGAGUAUGUUUGAGGCAGGCGGAAUGCGUGGUGUAGCGGUGAAAUGCUUAGAUAUCACGCAGAACCCCGAUUGCGAAGGCAGCCUGCCAAGCCAUGACUGACGCUGAUGCACGAAAGCGUGGGGAUCAAACAGGAUUGGAUACCCGGGUAGUC